AGCCAGCCCCCGCAGCAGGAGUGGGGAAACACCCGCCUGGAAUUGGCCGAGACCACGACUCCCGCGGUCCGAUGGCCCGGCCUCCCCACCCCCACGCGCCGCAAAGCCGCCCUCGGAGACACCUCCCGAAGCAGCUCGCAGCCCCGCGGGCGCCAGAACAACAUGAUGGUUCUCAACCAUGGCUGUACAUUAGAAGAAUCACCUAAGGGAACACUUAAAAAAAACCACAACUGAAGUCUUGCAGCCAUUGCUAGAAGCAUUUUUUAAGGCACUCAUUUGAGAAGUUCUUUGAAGAGCAUAUGCCUCAUUAUUUGGGAAUCACUUCAAAAACUGCAAGUACUCAUGUUGUUGAAGAUGGAUUGGGCUUUUUGAAGGAGACAAGAUGAUUUCGCACAAGCUAAUGAAUAAGGGGGUCGGCCAGAGACAGAGUCAUCGGGUGUCAAAA